AAUCUUCCGCAAUGGACGAAAGUCUGACGGAGCAACGCCGCGUGGGUGAUGAAGGUCUUCGGAUCGUAAAACCCUGUUGUUGGGGACGAAUAAGUAUCGUAGUAAUAUACCGGUACCUGGACUGUACCUUACCAGAAAGCCCCCGCUAACUACGUUCCAGCAGCCGCGGUAAUACGUAGGGGGCAAGCGUUGUCCGGAAUUAUUGGGCGUAAAAGGCGCGCAGGCGGUUUUUUAAGUCUGAUGUGAAAUCUCGCAGCUUAACUGCGAGAGGUAAUUGGAAACUGGAAAGCUUGAGUACAGAAGAGGAGAGUGGAAUUCCACGUGUAGCGGUGAAAUGCGUAGAGAUGUGGAGGAACACCAGUGGCGAAGGCGACUCUCUGGUCUGUAACUGACGCUGAGGCGCGAAGGCGUGGGGAUCAAACA
rnacentral:rRNA from 1 species